CGCGCAGGCGGCCUUUCAAGUCAGUGGUGAAAGCCCGGAGCUCAACUCCGGAACUGCCAUUGAAACUGUUUGGCUUGAGUACGAGAGAGGUGAGUGGAAUUCCCAGUGUAGAGGUGAAAUUCGUAGAUAUUGGGAAGAACACCGGUGGCGAAGGCGGCUCACUGGCUCGUAACUGACGCUCAGGCGCGACAGCUGGGGAUCAAACA
rnacentral:rRNA from 1 species